UGGAGCACAUCUUGUUGUAAGGCAUUGUCGGCGCUGAUGGAGGCUGGAUCUCGGUCCAGAUCUGCUACAUGAGUUAGAGUCGAAGGAGAGCCAGUUGCUGAAGGGUUUGCUGGUAGUAGAUUCUGCCGGCGUUCGGCGAGCUGGCUGUUGGUUCAGGAGGAAAGAGCUGAGGGAGACCGCGGCUGAGG